rnacentral:rRNA from 1 species
ACUCCUCGGGAGGGCAGCAGUAGGAAUUUUCCGCAAUGGACGAAAGUCUGACGGAGCAAUGCCGCGUGAGUGAUGAAGGUUUUCGAAUUGUAAAGCUCUGUUGUAAGGGAAGAAUAGCAAGAAUAGGAAAUGAUUCUUGUUCUGACGGUACCUUACCAGAAAGCCACGGCUAACUACGUGCCAGCAGCCGCGGUAAUACGUAGGUGGCAAGCGUUAUCCGGAAUUAUUGGGGCGUAAAGCGCAUGUAGGCGGCUUUUUAAGUCUGAUGUGAAAGCCCAGGUGGCUCAACCACUGAAUUGCAUUGGAUACUGGAAAGCUAGAAUCUUGUAGAGGGGGUGAGAAUUUCAUGGUGUAGCGGUGAAAUGCGUAGAGAUCUGAAGG